CUCAACCCCGGAAUUGCUUUUGAAACUGGCUGGCUAGAGUCCGGGAGAGGGUAGCAGAACUCCCAGUGUAGAGGUGAAAUUCGCAGAUAUUGGGAAGAAUACCGGUGGCGAAGGCGGCUACCUGGACCGGGACUGACGCUGAGGGUCGAAAGCGUGGGGAGCAAACAGGAUUAGAUACCCUGGUAGUCCACGCCGUAAACGAUGUGUGCUAGUUGUCGGGAAGCACAGCUUCCCGGUGACGCAGCUAACGCAUUAAGCACACCGCCUGGGGAGUACGGCCGCAAGGUUAAAACUCAAAGGAAUUGACGGGGACCCGCACAAGCGGUGGAGCAUGUUGUUUAAUUCGAUGCAACGCGAAGAACCUUACCCACCCUUGACAUCCCGGUCGCGCGGACCAGAGAUGGACCGCUUCAGUUAGGCUGGACC
rnacentral:rRNA from 1 species